GGCGGCGCGUUCAACACAUGCAAGGAAAACGAGAAAGUGGAGCAAUCCAUGAGUACAGUGGCGUACGGGUUCGCAACACGUGGAUGAUCUACCUCUUAGUGGGGAAUAACCCUGGGAAACCGGGGCUAAUACCGCAUAAGCUCGAGAGAGGAAAGCAGCAAUGCGCUGAGAGAGGAGUCCGCGGCCGAUUAGCUAGUUGGCAGGGUAAAAGCCUACCAAGGCAAAGAUCGGUAGCCGGCCUGAGAGGGCACACGGCCACACUGGCACUGAAACACGGGCCAGACUCCUACGGGAGGCAGCAGUGGG
rnacentral:rRNA from 1 species